GCCUGGGUGGCUCAGUCAGUUGAGCGUCUGACUUCAGCUCAGGUCAUCUCACAGUUCGUGGGUUCGAGCCCCACAUCGGGCU
rfam:Felis catus isolate Cinnamon breed Abyssinian chromosome F1, whole genome shotgun sequence.